CACGUAGGCACCAAGCGUUGUCCGGAUUUAUUGGGCGUAAAGAGCUCGUAGGCGGUUCGGUAAGUCGGGUGUGAAAACUUUGGGCUCAACCCAAAGCGUGCACUCGAUACUGCCAUGACUAGAGUUCGGUAGGGGAGUGGGGAAUUCCUAGUGUAGCGGUGAAAUGCGCAGAUAUUAGGAGGAACACCGGUGGCGAAGGCGCCAACUCUGGGCCGAAACUGACGCUGAGGAGCGAAAGCGUGGGUAGCAAACAGG
rnacentral:rRNA from 1 species